rnacentral:rRNA from 1 species
GAAAAGGCUUAUGGUGGAUACCUAGGCACCCAGAGAUGCGAAAAGGCGUAGUAAUUGAUGAAAUGCUUCGGGGAGUUGAAAAUAAGUAUAGAUCUGGAGAUUCCCAAAUAGGGCAACCUUUCAAACUUCUGUUGAAUCCAUGCGCAGGCAAGAGACAACCUGGUGAACUAAAACAUCUUAGUAGCCAGAGCAAAAGAAAGCAAAAGCGAUUCCUAUAGUAGUGACGAGAGAAAUGGGAGCAUCCUAAACUGUGAAAACGAGGUUGUGGGAAAGCAAUACAAGUGUCGUGCUACUAGGAGAAGCAACCUGAAUGAUGCACCAUAGAUGGAGAAAGUUUAGUAGGCAAAAGCAUCACUAGCUUAUGCUCUGACCCGAGUAGCAUGGGGAACAUAGAAUCCUAUGUGAAUGAGCAAGGACCACCUUGCAAGGCUAAAUACUCAUGGGUGACUGAUAGAAAAGUAGUACCGUGAGGGAAGGGUGAAAAAAACCACAUCGAGGAGUGAAAUAGAACUUGAAACCAUAAGCUCCCAAGCAGUGGGAGGAGCCAGGUCUCUGACCGCAUGCCUAUUGAAGAAUAAGCCGGCGAAUCAUAGGCAGUGGCUUGGUUAAGGGAACCCACCGGAGCCCUAACAAAAGUAAGUCUUCAUAGGGCAAUUGUCACUCCUUAUGGACCCGAACCUGGGUGAUCUAUCCCUGACCAGGAUGAAGCUUGGGUAAAACUAAGUGGAGAUCCAAACCGAAUAAUGUUGAAGAAUCAGUGGAUGAGUUGUGGUUAGGGGUAAAAUGCCACUCGAACCCAGAGCUAGAUGGUUCUCCCCGAAAUACGUUAAGGCACAAUAGUUAACUAGACAUCUAGGGGUAAAACACUAUUUCGGUGCAGGCCACGAGAGCGGUACCAAAUCGAGGCAAACUCUGAAUACUAGGUAUGGCAUUAAAAUUAAAAAAGAGGGGUCAAAGUCGGCUAGUGAGAUGAUGGGGGAUAAGCUUCAUCAUUGAGAGGGAAACAAAUCCGAUCACCAGCUAAGGCCCCUAAAUGGCCGCUCAAUGAUAAAGGAGGUAGGGUUACAACGAUAGCCAGGAGGUUUACCUAGAAACAACUACCCUUGAAAGAGUGCGUAAUAGCUUAUUGAUCAAGCGCUCUUGCAUCGAAAAUGAACGGGGAUGAGCAAUCUGCCAAAGCUGUGGGGUAUAAAAAUACAUCGAUAGGGGAGCGUUUCACCUUAGAGGGAAGCCUCCAUAUGAGCGGUGGUUGAUGAAGCGAAAGUGAGAAUGUCGGCUUGAGUAACACAAACAUUGGUGAGAAUCUAAUGCCUAAAAAACCUAAGGGUUCCUCUACAAGGUUCAUCCACGGAGGGUGAGUCAGGGCCUGUGAUUAGGCCAAAAGGCGUAGUCGAUGGACAAUAUGAGAAUAUUCAUAUAAUACCCUUUGUUGGUCCCGAGGGACGGAGGAGGCUAGGUUAGCCAAAAGAUGGUUAUUAGUUCAAGAACGUCAGGUGUCAAAGGUUAAGAAGGGGUAGAGAAAAUGCCUCGAGCCAAUGUUCAAAUACCAGGAUCUACGGCGCUGAAGUAACCUAUGCCAUACUCCUAGGAAAAGCUAAAACGACUUUGAGCAAGAGGGUACAUAUACUCGAAAUCGACACAAGUGGGUAGCUAGUGAAUACCUAGGGGCGUGAGACAACUCUCUCUAAGGAACUCGACAAAAUAGCCAUGUAACUUUGGGAGAAGAGGUUCCUCUUUACAUCACAAAGGGGGUCGCAGUGACCAAGUUCGGGCGACUGUUUACCAAAAACACAGGUCUCCACAAAGUCGUAAGAGCAUGUAUGGGGGCUUACACCUUCCCAAUGGUAGAAGGUCAAGGAAGUUGUUGGCCUGAUGACAGGGGAGACGACGACCGAAGCCCUAGUGAACGACGACCGUAACUAUAACAGUCCUAUGGUAGCAAACUUCCUUCUCAAGUAAGUUUCCACCCAUACGAAAGGCGUAAUGAUCUGGGAACUGUCUUAGAGAGAGGCUCGGUAAAAUCGACAUGUCUAUAAAAAUGCGGACUACCUGCACCUGGACAGAAAAACCCUAUGAAGCUUCACUAUUCCUUGGGAUUGAAUUUGGGCCUUUCCUGCGCAGCUUAGGUGGAAGGCAAAGAAGGCCUCCUUUCGGGGGGCCCCGAGCCAUCACUGAGAUACCACUCUAGAAGGGAUAAAAUUCUUACCUUGUGUUAGGACCUAGGGCCAAGGAACAAUCUCAGGUAGACAGUUUUAAUAGGGCGUAGGCCUCCAAAAGGUAACGGAGGCGUGCAAAGGUUUCCUAGGGACAGAAAGAGAUUGGCCCUUGAGUGCAAAGGUAGAAGGAAGCUUGAUUGCAAAACCCAUUCAUCGAGCAGGGAAGAAAGUUACUCUAGGGAUAACAGGCUGAUCUUCCCCAAGAGCUCACAUCGAUGGGAAGGUUUGGCACCUCGAUGUCAUCUCUUCACUAUUUGGGGCUGUAGUAUGUUCCAAGGGUUAGGCUGUUCGUAAAUGAAAGUGGUACGUGAGCUGGGUUCAGAACGUCGUGAGACAGUUUGGUCCAUAUUCGGUGUGGGUGUUUGAGCAUUGAGAGGACCUUUCCCUAGUACGAGAGGACUAGGAAGGACACACCUCUGGUGUACCAGUUAUCGUGGCCACGGUAAACGCUGGGUAGCCAAAUAUGGAGCAGAUAACUGCUGAAAGCAUCUAAGUAGUAAGCCCACUCCAAGAUGAGUGCUCUCCUAUUCUGACUUCCCCAGAGCUUCCAGUAGCACAAUCGAGAUAGCGAUGGGUUCUCUGCCCCUGUGGGGAUGGAGCGACAGAAGUUUUUUUGAGAAUUCAAGAGAAGGUCACAACGAGACAAGCCAUUUAUCAUUACGAUAAGU